rnacentral:rRNA from 1 species
UACGGGAGGCAGCAGUGGGGAAUUUGCGCAAUGGGGAAACCCUGACGCAGCAACGCCGCGUGGAGGAUGAAAUCCCUUGGGAUGUAAACUCCUUUCGAUCGGGAAGAUAAUGACGGUACCGAGAGAAGAAGCCCCGGCUAACUUCGUGCCAGCAGCCGCGGUAAUACGAGGGGGCAAGCGUUGUUCGGAAUUAUUGGGCGUAAAGGGUGCGUAGGCGGUUUGAUAAGUUUGGUGUGAAAUCUCUGGGCUCAACCCAGAGUCUGCAUCGAAAACUGUCGGGCUUGAGUAUGGGAGAGGUGAGUGGAAUUUUCCGGUGUAGCGGUGAAAUGCGUAGAUAUCGGAAGGAACACCUGUGGCGAAAGCGGCUCACUGGACCAUAACUGACGCUGAUGCACGAAAGCUAGGGGAGCAAACAGGGAUUAGAUACC